UUCAGAGGGGGCAAGCGUUGUUCGGAAUUACUGGGCGUAAAGGGCGCGUAGGCGGCCUGUUAAGUCGAACGUGAAAUCCCCGGGCUCAACCCGGGAACUGCGUCCGAUACUGGCAGGCUUGAAUCCGGGAGAGGGAUGCGGAAUUCCAGGUGUAGCGGUGAAAUGCGUAGAUAUCUGGAGGAACACCGGUGGCGAAGGCGCCACUCUGGGCCGGAACUGACGCUGAGGAGCGAAAGCGUGGGUAGCAAACAGG
rnacentral:rRNA from 1 species